AGACUCCGCACAAAGCACAUUUUCCAAAGCAGCGCAAGGGAGCGCCCAGCCGCGUGCAGGCGGACGCACCCUUCCUGUCCUUUGUUCCGGGGGGGAUCUGCAGCUGCUCUUCUCCCCCAACUCGGAGUCUUCCCUCCAGGGGUGGCAGGUCGCCGAAUACAGCAACGAAGAUGCCUUUGGAACUGACCCAGAGCCGGGUGCAGAAGAUCUGGGUGCCUGUCGAUCACCGACCCUCGUUGCCCAGAUGUGAGUGCAAGUAGCUCCAUGGGGGGCCUGGGUUGUAGACGGCGCCGCGAGCAGAGCCCGGCCAUUGUGUGUGCAGCGGCUUUGUGCCGGUUCCCCUUUGCGGGAAGAGCACUCGUGCGGUUCGGCCGGGCGAGGCGGGGGUGGCGGCGGGCUUGUGUCUCCCAGGCUGGGCUGAAGGGGCGCUGUGGCUCCGGAAACCUCCUGUGUGCCCGGCCGGCCUGAGCUCGCGGGGCCAGCGCCUCCCAGAGGCUGGAGAGACCUGGCUGCUCCGGAGUCACCCCCGGCCGACUGGAGCAGGGGCGCGGCCGC
rnacentral:lncRNA from 1 species